rnacentral:misc_RNA from 1 species
GAUGAAGAACGCAGCGAAAUGCGAUAAGUAAUGUGAAUUGCAGAAUUCAGUGAAUCAUCGAAUCUUUGAACGCACAUUGCGCCCGCCAGUAUUCUGGCGGGCAUGCCUGUCCGAGCGUCAUUUCAACCCUCGAACCCCUCCGGGGGGUCGGCGUUGGGGAUCGGCACUUACCUGCCGGCCCCGAAAUACAGUGGCGGUCUCGCCGCAGCCUCUCCUGCGCAGUAGUUUGCACACUCGCACCGGGAGCGCGGCGCGUCCACGGCCGUAAAACAACCCAAACUUCUGAAAUGUUGACCUCGGAUCAGGUAGGAAUACCCGCUGAACUUAAGCAUAUCAAAAGCGGAGGA